rnacentral:rRNA from 1 species
GGCUAACGCUGGCGGCGUGUCUUAGCCAUGCAAGUCGAGCGGACUUAUGGGGUAACUUAUAAGUCAGCGGCGGACGGCGGAGUAACACGUAGCUAACCUACCCUCUGGACGGGGAUAACCUACCGAAAGGUGGGCUAAUACCCGAUGUAGUCAUCCUGUAUAGGGGUGAUGAAAGGUGGGCUUCUGUUUACAAGCUCAUGCUGGAGGAGGGGGCUGCGGCCUAUCAGGUAGUUGGUAGGGUAAUAGCCUACCAAGCCGAUGACGGGUAGCCGGCCUGAGAGGGUGACCGGCCCGAGGGGCACUGAGAUACGGGUCCCACUCCUACGGGAGGCAGCAGGCUAGUAAAUUUGGGCAAGUGGGGGAAACCCUGACCCAGUGACGCCGCGUGCAGGAAGGAGCCCGUUCGGGGUGUAAACUGCUGUCGUGUAGGGAGAAGGGUACUAAGGUGAACAAUCUUAGUACUUGACGGUACUACAGGAGGAAGCCCAGGCUAACCUCGUG